rnacentral:rRNA from 1 species
GACAGAGGGUGCAAACGUUGUUCGGAAUUACUGGGCGUAAAGGGCGCGUAGGCGGGUGUUUAAGUCAGAGGUUAAAUCCCAGAGCUCAACUCUGGAACUGCCUUUGAUACUGGACACCUAGAGUACGGGAGAGGUGUGUGGAACUCCGAGUGUAGAGGUGAAAUUCGUAGAUAUUCGGAAGAACACCAGUGGCGAAGGCGACACACUGGCCCGUUACUGACGCUGAGGCGCGAAAGCGUGGGGAGCAACAGGG